rnacentral:siRNA from 1 species
UUAGCGGUCGGUUGUGGUUGUUA